rnacentral:rRNA from 1 species
AUGAACGCUGGCGGCGUGCCUAAUACCUGCAAGUCGAGCGAACAGAUGAGGAGCUUGCUCCUCUGACGUUAGCGGCGGACGGGUGAGUAACACGUGGAUAACCUACCUAUAAGACUGGGAUAACUUCGGGAAACCGGAGCUAAUACCGGAUAAUAUAUUGAACCGCAUGGUUCAAUAGUGAAAGACGGUUUUGCUGUCACUUAUAGAUGGAUCCGCGCCGCAUUAGCUAGUUGGUAAGGUAACGGCUUACCAAGGCAACGAUGCGUAGCCGACCUGAGAGGGUGAUCGGCCACACUGGAACUGAGACACGGUCCAGACUCCUACGGGAGGCAGCAGUAGGGAAUCUUCCGCAAUGGGCGAAAGCCUGACGGAGCAACGCCGCGUGAGUGAUGAAGGUCUUCGGAUCGUAAAACUCUGUUAUUAGGGAAGAACAAAUGUGUAAGUAACUAUGCACAUCUUGACGGUACCUAAUCAGAAAGCCACGGCUAACUACGUG